rnacentral:rRNA from 1 species
CCUUUUGUAUAAUGGGUCAGCGACUUAUAUUCUGUAGCAAGGUUAACCGAAUAGGGGAGCCGAAGGGAAACCGAGUCUUAACUGGGCGUUAAGUUGCAGGGUAUAGACCCGAAACCCGGUGAUCUAGCCAUGGGCAGGUUGAAGGUUGGGUAACACUAACUGGAGGACCGAACCGACUAAUGUUGAAAAAUUAGCGGAUGACUUGUGGCUGGGGGUGAAAGGCCAAUCAAACCGGGAGAUAGCUGGUUCUCCCCGAAAGCUAUUUAGGUAGCGCCUCGUGAAUUCAUCUCCGGGGGUAGAGCACUGUUUCGGCAAGGGGGUCAUCCCGACUUACCAACCCGAUGCAAACUGCGAAUACCGGAGAAUGUUAUCACGGGAGACACACGGCGGGUGCUAACGUCCGUCGUGAAGAGGGAAACAACCCAGACCGCCAGCUAAGGUCCCAAAGUCAUGGUUAAGUGGGAAACGAUGUGGGAAGGCCCAGACAGCCAGGAUGUUGGCUUAGAAGCAGCCAUCAUUUAAAGAAAGCGUAAUAGCUCACUGGUCGAGUCGGCCUGCGCGGAAGAUGUAACGGGGCUAAACCAUGCACCGAAGCUGCGGCAGCGACACUAUGUGUUGUUGGGUAGGGGAGCGUUCUGUAAGCCUGUGAAGGUGUGCUGUGAGGCAUGCUGGAGGUAUCAGAAGUGCGAAUGCUGACAUAAGUAACGAUAAAGCGGGUGAAAAGCCCGCUCGCCGGAAGACCAAGGGUUCCUGUCCAACGUUAAUCGGGGCAGGGUGAGUCGACCCCUAAGGCGAGGCCGAAAGGCGUAGUCGAUGGGAAACAGGUUAAUAUUCCUGUACUUGGUGUUACUGCGAAGGGGGGACGGAGAAGGCUAUGUUGGCCGGGCGACGGUUGUCCCGGUUUAAGCGUGUAGGCUGGUUUUCCAGGCAAAUCCGGAAAAUCAAGGCUGAGGCGUGAUGACGAGGCACUACGGUGCUGAAGCAACAAAUGCCCUGCUUCCAGGAAAAGCCUCUAAGCAUCAGGUAACAUCAAAUCGUACCCCAAACCGACACAGGUGGUCAGGUAGAGAAUACCAAGGCGCUUGAGAGAACUCGGGUGAAGGAACUAGGCAAAAUGGUGCCGUAACUUCGGGAGAAGGCACGCUGAUAUGUAGGUGAGGUCCCUCGCGGAUGGAGCUGAAAUCAGUCGAAGAUACCAGCUGGCUGCAACUGUUUAUUAAAAACACAGCACUGUGCAAACACGAAAGUGGACGUAUACGGUGUGACGCCUGCCCGGUGCCGGAAGGUUAAUUGAUGGGGUUAGCGCAAGCGAAGCUCUUGAUCGAAGCCCCGGUAAACGGCGGCCGUAACUAUAACGGUCCUAAGGUAGCGAAAUUCCUUGUCGGGUAAGUUCCGACCUGCACGAAUGGCGUAAUGAUGGCCAGGCUGUCUCCACCCGAGACUCAGUGAAAUUGAACUCGCUGUGAAGAUGCAGUGUACCCGCGGCAAGACGGAAAGACCCCGUGAACCUUUACUAUAGCUUGACACUGAACAUUGAGCCUUGAUGUGUAGGAUAGGUGGGAGGCUU